AGAGUUUGAUCAUGGCUCAGGACGAACGCUGGCGGCGUGCUUAACACAUGCAAGUCGAACGGACGAGUGAGAUAAGUUUACUUAACUCACAAGUUAGUGGCGGACGGGUGAGUAACACGUGGAUAAUCUACCUGCAACACCGGGAUAACGCUGUGAAAACGGUGCUAAUACCGGAUACGUUCCCUUGUGCGCAUGUAUGAGGGAAGAAAGCUCAGGCGGUUGCAGAUGAGUCCGCGGCUGAUUAGCUAGUUGGUGAGGUAAAGGCUCACCAAGGCGAUGAUCAGUAGCCGGCCUGAGAGGGUGAACGGCCACACUGGGACUGAGACACGGCCCAGACUCCUACGGGAGGCAGCAGUGGGGAAUCUUCCGCAAUGGGCGCAAGCCUGACGGAGCAACGCCGCGUGGGUGAAGAAGGCCUUCGGGUUGUAAAGCCCUGUCUUAUGGGAAGAAGUCAGUGACGGUACCAUAGGAGGAAGCCACGGCUAACUACGUGCCAGCAGCCGCGGUAAUACGUAGGUGGCGAGCGUUGUCCGGAAUUACUGGGCGUAAAGGGCGCGCAGGCGGGUUUUUAAGUCAGAUGUGUAAUCUACAGGCUCAACCUGUAGUUUGGAUCUGAUACUGGAAAUCUUGAGUGCAGGAGAGGACAGUGGAAUUCCUAGUGUAGCGGUGAAAUGCGUAGAUAUUAGGAGGAACACCAGUGGCGAAGGCGGCUGUCUGGCCUGCAACUGACGCUGAGGCGCGAAAGCGUGGGUAGCGAACAGGAUUAGAUACCCUGGUAGUCCACGCCGUAAACGAUGGGUACUAGGUGUAGGAGGUAUCGACCCCUUCUGUGCCGGAGUUAACACAAUAAGUACCCCGCCUGGGGACUACGGCCGCAAGGCUAAAACUCAAAUGAAUUGACGG
rnacentral:rRNA from 1 species